GUGUGUGGCCUGGGACAGGAGUAGAUAAAAGGCAGCCAUGGAGGUGGACUUGUCUGCCGGGCCAUUUCCUUCCCACCUAAGCUCCUGCCAGAUGGCUCCCAGUUGCUGUGUUUGAGCCCAGGCUGACCACUUCCUAGGCAGUGGCGUUGGAGAUGGGUGUGGCCUUGCCUCCAGGAUCUCCUCACAGCUUGUGCUUCCUGACAGCUGUGGACACUUGGGCUGACUGCAGACCUCCCGCUACCCUGAUUUCCAGCAAGUGAGCCAGCGCCAUGAGGAGUGGCUGCCUCUUGAAUCCUGUCAGUCUCCGGCAGAUCCGAUUACAUCUGGGACCCUUAAGAGUACUUGAAGCAAACGGCGCUGGUCUAUUUUAAUCCUGCUCCUUCUAGAAACUAGAAACUGUAAGGAGAGUCUUCCUGCUGACAGGUGGCUCCAUAAAAGUCGUCCAUCUGCUGCUAAUUAUGGCAGAAAGAAAAUUCACAGAGCCGAGUUUUCAGUUUAUUUGCUAAAGAUCUCCAAAGGUGUAACUGUCUUCCCAGAUCACAAGGCCAUUCACAGCGUUACAUCUAUAGCGCUUGUUAAUUAUUUAAAUAAUUUACAACUCGGGGUGGCAGCGAGCAUUUAACAGAAGUCUGGCUGGGUGAGGAUGGGUUUGAUGGUUGAUCAUGGCAGAGGAGGAGAAUCUGUUUUCACAGCUCACAGAAUCUAGACUUGUGGGGUUUUGUUGUUCUCCUUACCAUUCUUUCCAAGGGAAACUCAAAAAAGGGUCAGAAUUUGGAAUAUUUUGGACUUGAUUGCUUUGAUUCCCAAACUUCAGUUCAUCUCCCUCUCCUCUUCAUGGUUUCAUCUAUAAAAUGGGUACAAUCUCUCAACUGUUUAACUCAGAAGGCUUUUGUGAUCUUGGAAUAGGAUAAUUUAUUAAAAAGUGUCAUGUAUAGCAUAAUAUAUAAAGAAUUUUAGACCCAUGAAAUAGAUAGAAAUGAGUAAAUCUGAUAGGUCAGAUGAUAAAAUAAUUUAAUAAUAAAAGACAGAUAUUUUUCCC
rnacentral:lncRNA from 10 species